rnacentral:rRNA from 1 species
AUUGAACGCUGGCGGCAGGCCUAACACAUGCAAGUCGAGCGGUAGAGAGGUGCUUGCAUCUCUUGAGAGCGGCGGACGGGUGAGUAAUGCCUAGGAAUCUGCCUAGUGGUGGGGGAUAACGUUCGGAAACGGACGCUAAUACCGCAUACGUCCUACGGGAGAAAGCGGGGGAUCUUCGGACCUCGCGCCAUUAGAUGAGCCUAGGUCGGAUUAGCUAGUUGGUGAGGUAAUGGCUCACCAAGGCGACGAUCCGUAACUGGUCUGAGAGGAUGAUCAGUCACACUGGAACUGAGACACGGUCCAGACUCCUACGGGAGGCAGCAGUGGGGAAUAUUGGACAAUGGGCGAAAGCCUGAUCCAGCCAUGCCGCGUGUGUGAAGAAGGUCUUCGGAUUGUAAAGCACUUUAAGUUGGGAGGAAGGUAGUAACUAAUACGUUGCUACUUUGACGUUACCGACAGAAUAAGCACCGG